GAGCAUUGAAAUGCAUUAUCUAUCUCAAGAACUUAGGCGAAGAUUCGUAGAUUCGAUCCGGAGACCAUGGCAAUAUUGAUACUUUCUGUUGUUCUGGUCCUUAUUGCCCAGUGUCGCCCUGAAACUGUGGACUCCUACACCGACGCAUCUAAUCCGGAGCACCACUAUCUAAUCUCUCAUAUCAUGAGGUACCAGAGCGAUGCAAAGACGUGGCAGGCAGCUAAGGAUUUCUGCCCUACAGUCGGCGAUGAGUUUGUCCUAAUGGA